rnacentral:rRNA from 1 species
UACGGAGGGAGCUAGCGUUGUUCGGAAUUACUGGGCGUAAAGCGCACGUAGGCGGCUAUUCAAGUCGGGGUGAAAGCCCGGGGCUCAACCCCGGAACUGCCCUCGAAACUAGAUAGCUAGAAUCUUGGAGAGGCGAGUGGAAUUCCGAGUGUAGAGGUGAAAUUCGUAGAUAUUCGGAAGAACACCAGUGGCGAAGGCGACUCGCUGGACAAGUAUUGACGCUGAGGUGCGAAAGCGUGGGGAGCAAACAGG